CAAUGGAAUGAUGAUUACACUUAGCGGAUAUAUUAAUUUAUUGUGUCGACCAAAAUACAGACUACAAUUAUCUGAUCAUAU
rfam:Eutrema salsugineum unplaced genomic scaffold scaffold_3, whole genome shotgun sequence.